rfam:Chaetura pelagica isolate M959 contig35527, whole genome shotgun sequence.
GUGUUCACACAGCAGUAGUGUCUUCACUAGCAAGGUCAAGCCAAGGCAUGGUAUUUGCUCAUUGAAAACUAUUCCAAUUUCCUUCUCUCUUGACUAGAAAUAUAGUCAGUACUGGCAAUUUUUUACUUCCUCUAAAGAGA